UACGUAGGGGGCGAGCGUUGUCCGGAAUCAUUGGGCGUAAAGAGCGUGUAGGCGGCUUGGUAAGUCCGCUGUGAAAGUCCAGGGCUCAACCCUGGAAAGCCAGUGGAUACUGUCAAGCUAGAGUCCGGAAGAGGCGAGUGGAAUUCCUGGUGUAGCGGUGAAAUGCGCAGAUAUCAGGAGGAACACCAAUGGCGAAGGCAGCUCGCUGGGACGGUACUGACGCUGAGACGCGAAAGCGUGGGGAGCAAACAGG
rnacentral:rRNA from 1 species